rnacentral:rRNA from 1 species
CAGUCGCCGCGGGAAAACAGAGGGUGCAAGCGUUAAUCGGAAUUACUGGGCGUAAAGCGCGCGUAGGUGGUUUGUUAAGUUGGAUGUGAAAUCCCCGGGCUCAACCUGGGAACUGCAUCCAAAACUGGCAAGCUAGAGUAUGGUAGAGGGUGGUGGAAUUUCCUGUGUAGCGGUGAAAUGCGUAGAUAUAGGAAGGAACACCAGUGGCGAAGGCGACCACCUGGACUGAUACUGACACUGAGGUGCGAAAGCGUGGGGAGCAAACAGGAUUAGAUACCCCUGUAGUCCCUGUCUCUUAUAC